rfam:Myotis lucifugus cont2.46490, whole genome shotgun sequence.
UGCGGUUCUCAGGUGACGGAUCCCAGAAUCGGGCUCCCUCCUCUCUAGUUCCAGGUGCAUCACCCAAGAACCACA